CUCGGAUUGCUUUCCCAGGUGUUCCAGAAGCACCUGAAGGACAAAUCAAUAGUGAAGGUCCUUAUUCACCCCUGGAAUGAAGCUCCUUUCCUGCAGUUGGACUUCUAAAGAAGCAAGGUGGUGUCCCUGAGCUGUAUUUAACUGGUGGGCAAUUGAGCAGGAGUAAAACAAGGAAAAUAAUGAAAGAACAUGAUUUAUGUUGAUUCACAAACAAGAGAACACAAGCUAUCCCACUGACCUGGCUUAAGCUAAUGAGAUGAACUGGAAAGAGUACUGAAGAACUCGAUUUGGUGCCAUGAAGCUGGGCUUCCUCAAUGCAAUUAACCUUUUUAUUUUGAAGAGAGAAAGAAAAACAUUUUAAAGUACAGUCCAAGGGACCUUGAUCAUCUGGACAUUCCUUUAAACGUUGAGCUGGUCCACCAUAUUGAUGAGAUGAUACUGUGUUAAUUCAACCUGAGGAGCAAGAAGGGGCAAAUUCUAUGAACGCUUAGGCAAGAAACACUGACGCCUGAGGUUAGAAGGGAUUUGGAAGGUCUUGUAGCCAGCAGAGAAAGGAAGACAUUAAUAGCGGGAGCUGCGGCAUCUAGCAGCAGGGACUCUAAGGAGUGUAUGUUAGAACUGGGAGGAGGAGAAAGAAAAUUCGGAAAUCUGCAGCUGUGUGUAAGUUGGCUGUUUUCAAAUUGGAGCUCUUCCUUCCACCACUGUGGUUAUACAUACUACAUCAAUGUUGGGUUUCAUAUGCCCAUGCUGUGGCCCAUAGAAAAAAAUGUCUGUUGUUUAGCAGGAAAAUGUAGGAAAAUCUGGACAGUCACUACUGCUAAAAAAUACCUUCUGCAAAAUAAAUUUGCUUUAGAAAUGGG
rnacentral:lncRNA from 1 species